AGUGAACGCUGGCGGCAGGCCUAACACAUGCAAGUCGAACGGCAGCACAGUAAGAGCUUGCUCUUACGGGUGGCGAGUGGCGGACGGGUGAGGAAUACAUCGGAAUCUACUUUUUCGUGGGGGAUAACGUAGGGAAACUUACGCUAAUACCGCAUACGACCUACGGGUGAAAGCAGGGGAUCUUCGGACCUUGCGCGAUUGAAUGAGCCGAUGUCGGAUUAGCUAGUUGGCGGGGUAAAGGCCCACCAAGGCGACGAUCCGUAGCUGGUCUGAGAGGAUGAUCAGCCACACUGGAACUGAGACACGGUCCAGACUCCUACGGGAGGCAGCAGUGGGGAAUAUUGGACAAUGGGCGCAAGCCCGAUCCAGCCAUACCGCGUGGGUGAAGAAGGCCUUCGGGUUGUAAAGCCCUUUUGUUGGGAAAGAAAAGCAGCAGGUUAAUACCCCGCUGUUCUGACGGUACCCAAAGAAUAAGCACCGGCUAACUUCGUG
rnacentral:rRNA from 1 species